AAUUUUGCACAAUGUGUGAAACCCUGAUCCAGCCAUCCCGCGUGUAUGAUGAAGGCCUUCGGGUUGUAAAGUACUUUUGGCAGAGAAGAAAAGGUAUCCCCUACUACGGCAUGCUGCUGACGGUAUCUGCAGAAUAAGCACCGGCUAACUACGUGCCAGCAGCCGCGGUAAUACGUAGGGUGCAAGCUUUAAUCGGAAUGACUGGGCGUAAAGCGUGCGCAGGCGGUUCGGAAAGAAGGAUGUGAAAUCCCAGGGCUCAACCUUGGAACUGCAUUCUUAACUACCGAACUAGAGUAUGUCAGAGGGGGGUAGAAUUCCGCGUGUAGCAGUGAAAUGCGUAGAUAUGCGGAGGAAUACCGAUGGCGAAGGCAGCCCCCUGGGAUAAUACUGACGCUCAUGCACGAAAGCGUGGGUAGCAAACAGG
rnacentral:rRNA from 1 species